rnacentral:rRNA from 14 species
AUCUGGUUGAUCCUGCCAGUAGUCAUAUGCUUGUCUAAAAGAUUAAGCCAUGCAAGUGCGAGUGAUUCGGAGCAUCACUCUUUGUAAAAGGAGGGGGAAGGCUCAGGAUGACUGCGAAAGGCUCAUUAAAACAGUUAUGGAUCUGGAUGGUCAGAAGAAAACGGAGAGGAUAAGGGUGUGAAAAUAGAGCUAAAACGAGGGAGGGGGAUCUUGACUCAUUCAUGUGAUGUGAUGAAGAAGGGAUUUCUAGAAUUUCAUAGAGAUAUGAGAGGGAGCAUGUGAAUAUUUGACCUAUCAACUGGGGAUGGUAGUAUAGGGGACUACGAUGGUGGUGACGGGUGACGGAGGAUCAGGGUUUGGUACCGGAGAGGGGGCCUGAGAGAUGGCCACCACUUCUAAGGAAGGCAGCAGGCGCGAAAAUUACCCAAUGUUGGAACAGUGAGGUAGUGACAAGGAAUAACUGUGAAGAAGCCAUUUUGGUUUUUUUGUGGUAAUGGAAGGAGGUUAGAGAGGUUCUUGAGUAACGCUCAGAGGGAAAGUCUGGUGCCAGCAG